ensembl:lncRNA
GGCUAAUGUCAGGCAUCAUAGCAGCUAAGAUGAGUAGGAACAUGGUUGAAUACAUGAGCAUGGUGCAGACAGGAAUGGGUAACACCAAGGAGCUAAGCACCAGCUACUGAUGGACAGAGCAGUCACUCGAGACUAUGAGAUCAGAAAAAACGAUCUGUGCACUGCCUGAAUUGACUACAAGAAAGCCUAAAACAUACAUGAAUACUGGAGUGCGUGGAGCCAUACAACAUCAACAUGACACUAAGAGCCUUUAUAUCAAGACCUCAAAGAAACUGUGGAAAACAACACUGAAAUCCAACUCAAAGCCAGUUGCAAAGGUAAGUAUCAAGUGUGGCAUAUACCAAGGAGAUGCUCUGUACCUUCUUCUGUUCUGCAUAGGUCUGAACCCCCUAAGCCGGACCAUCACAAAGAGUGGCACUGGAUACCAGUUCCAAAGUGGAACGACCCUUAGCAACCUCCUCUACAUGAAUGACAUCAAGCUGUAUGCCAGAAAUGAACAAGACAUUGAAUCACUGAUCCAUAUCACCAGGAUCUACAGCAACAACAUUGGAAUGUCAUUCGAACUGGACAAAUGUCGACUGAUGAACCAUCAUGGAAGGAAAAGCCCCUGCAUGGCAUGUACCAUUGCUAAAGAUGCAGCACAAGUGGAUGUAACUGAGUUGUUUCCUGAUCUAUUUGGAUGCAUUUACAAGUUUGCCAAGACCCAAGGAUGGAAUUCAGAGACUCCACUGAAGGAAAUGUUUCGAAGAGAAGACAUCGGAGCCAUCUUUGUGUUUCCAGCCACAAACACUGAGGAGCAUCUGAGUGCCCCAGUUCAAGAGUCUCAGCCCUGUGACUCUGAAUUCAAAAAGGAUGAAAGACCUUGAAAAUGACUUCAGUGUCUUAUAAGCAGAGAAAACAAGAAAACAUACACACACACAAGCAAUUCACACUUAAUCAUGGUAGCACAGGUGUCACUACUAACAUCAAUCGUGUCUUUUUGUAUUUUAGUGUUACAGUAAAACAUGACAGUGCUACAUAGUUUUUGCUGUCAUUUAUGGUUUACAACUGUGUUCUUCUUACUGUAUCAAAAUGUCUUCUGUGAAAUAAGCCUCUGAACCUGUUUUCCAAAGUCUCAUGACUUUCUUGUCACUUUAGUAUUUCUAUUUGGAAAGAUUUUAUUCUUUUACUUGGCCAUUAUUCUUACAAGGAAUUAUUCAGUUUCUUUUUUUCUACUGUCAUGGAAAUUUAGUCUAGCUUCUCACUCACGUCUUUUUAUAACCUUCUGGCCUUUCAGUAACCUUUUGGAACUGUGAUAACCUGUGGCCUCUCUGCAACUUUUUGCACUUCUGUCUUGACCUAACUGCACAACUGGAUUAUACCGUCUUGUUUCAAUAUUGUUCUUAGAAAAGAGGAACUGAUGACUACGACUUCCGCACUCUGAGUGAAAGUUUGUUUCAUUCUGUUCUUGUCCCACUCUGCAGACUGCUCUGAACUCUUUAUGAUUGUCUGACCUUUGUGUGAAGAGGAAAUCUCACCAAGACAUUCUGCUCUCUAUUAGUUUAAGAUUCUCAUGAAAUAGAACUUCUAUAAUACUUCACAUUUAUCUGAUGGCAUUAGUUGCUAGUUACUUCAAAAAUGAAUGAUGAAACACAAAGCAUAUAAGAAAAAAACAACAUAAUUGACUAUUAGAGUUGAGCCACCAUUAGGUCGUGCAGGUGGCAAAAAUAGAAUUUGUUUCACAGACUAAUGCAUCAUUAUUGCCUAAAAAAAUGCUGAUUUUAUUCUUAUUCAAAAAUUACUUCUUCAGAUUUUGCUUUUGUGCUUAGUUUUUACUGCUGAUAUAAUUGUAUUACUACCAUUUUUAAUGUUUUAAUCGUUUCAUUUUCACUGAUAUUGCUGCACUUUGUGAGGGGAAAAGACAUGGUUGUAUUUUUGUAUAUCCAGCUAAAAAUAAAAAUAAUCUUGACGUUCUUCUCUAUAUAAAUUUGGAAUCUGGUUGAGAUUAAACUUUACGAGACCAAUGGACAUUCAGCUCCAUGAAAGCAGCUGAUGUUUGAUUUGGUUAUCAGCUGAUCUGACAGUUUUAACGAUUUACACAUACGGGUCAGGGUUGGUUUCCUUUGUACUGUCAAGUACACUGAACAGAAAUAUAGAUGCAGCAUGCAAAUGGUGUUCUUUGUCAAAAGUGAAAAUUAUAUUUUGUUUAGGAACGGGUUUGAGGUAGCAAACUGCACAAAAAAAAUGUAGCUAUUCAACUACUGAUAAAUUCUCCAAAAAAUUCCCUUCUUGACAUUUAAAAUGAAUGAAGUUUAAAGUUUCAGAGCUUUAAUGUGCAGCUGUAAGUUUGAAAUAAGCUGCAACACUGACAGUCACUGAGAGGUGAAACAAGUACAUUCAUUUACAUGACAAACAGCACCACCAAGGACAAAAGAGGAAGCACAGGAAACUCACUGUAUGUGGUUCAAACUUUCAAGUAGAUACUUUUUAGUGAAUGUGGAUAUAUUUUAUCUCUUUUAGAAGCAUCAACAAAUACCAACAAUGUAGUAAGCAGUUGUCAGAUGCA